AGUGAACGCUGGCGGUAGGCCUAACACAUGCAAGUCGAACGGCAGCACAGUAAGAGCUUGCUCUUACGGGUGGCGAGUGGCGGACGGGUGAGGAAUACAUCGGAAUCUACUUUUUCGUGGGGGAUAACGUAGGGAAACUUACGCUAAUACCGCAUACGACCUACGGGUGAAAGCAGGGGAUCUUCGGACCUUGCGCGAUUGAAUGAGCCGAUGUCGGAUUAGCUAGUUGGCGGGGUAAAGGCCCACCAAGGCGACGAUCCGUAGCUGGUCUGAGAGGAUGAUCAGCCACACGGGAACUGAGACACGGUCCAGACUCCACGGGAGGCAGCAGUGGGGAAUAUUGGACAAUGGGCGCAAGCCUGAUCCAGCCAUACCGCGUGGGUGAAGAAGGCCUUCGGGUUGUAAAGCCCUUUUGUUGGGAAAGAAAAGCAGCAGGUUAAUACCCCGCUGUUCUGACGGUACCCAAAGAAUAAGCACCGGCUAACUUCGUG
rnacentral:rRNA from 1 species